rnacentral:lncRNA from 1 species
AAAAGAAAAGGAAAGGAGGUAAGGUUGAUAUCUUCAAGUUGGGUUGAAAUUUUUCAUUUAUUUUAGGUGAUAAAGUAUGAAUUAUGUUAAAAUUUUUAGGGUUUUAACUUGUUGAAUAAUAUGUCGAAUUUUAGGGAUAUUUGCACAAAUUGGAGCUCAAGUGUGGGGAUUUAUUCAUUUCAAAUUUUCAGCAAGGUAUGGAGAUGUCAAAUUUUUGGGAAAACCCUAGAAUCCGAUUUUGGGGAUUUUAAUUAAUUAAUUGUGAAGUGAUUAUGUAAAUGAAAUAUUUCACUUGGGAAUUGAUUUUAUGGAACAAAUGUAUAUUAUGUGGGUGGAAUUGUGAUUACUAGUUUCAUUAGAUUGGAGAGUAAAAUUAGUUUUAAAUUUGAAAUGAUGGUUAUGUUGAUAAAUUAGUGAUUAACCAAGGGAUUAUAAGGUGUGAUUAGCUCCAAUUAAUAAAGGAAAAUUUGAGAAUUUAUUUAAGUACCAAGAGCAUUUAAAUUAUGUUAUAUUAUUAGAUAUUAAGGUUUCUCGAUUCGAUAGUGGAUAAAUUGGUUAUCAUUAUCGUAUUUCAGGAGGUAACGAGGCGAUUGGAAACGUCUAUCAGCCUAUCUAGCUUGUAGCUCAUACCUUGUGAGUGGAUAAAACUUAUUUUUCAUAAAUAAGUCUUCAUUAAAUUUUAAAGUUAUUUAUUGUAUAAAGUUGACUCCAUAGCAUGAUUUUUUUUGAAUAAAAUGGAUUUUAUUAUCAAUUGCUUUUAAAGUUAAAUUUAGUUCAAUUAAAUCAUUUGACUAGCAUGUUAUAUGAAUAUAAAUGUUUCAGUAUAGCUAAAGUUAUUUUAAAACCAUCAGAAAGUACCCAGGUGAUUUUAUCCUAGUCUGCACUGAUGUGAAUGUGUUUCCACAGUGUAUGACUAGUUACAGUGAUUUUACCCGCUCUGCACUAUUGUGAAUGUGUUUCAAUAGUGUAUGACCAGAUUAUCAGAGGUCUUUGGGACCCACUCUCGUACACACAUAGGCUUUGGGCCGUGUACUAGGGUGAUUAGCCUUUGGGACAGCUCUGCGUACGUAUGAUCAGAUUAUCAGAUUAUCAGCUAUCAGAUUAUCAGAUUUGAAUGGCUUUACCUUGUACAUCGAGAUUACUCUGUACAUGAGUAAGGCUAUUCAUUGGGUACUCUUUUUGGUGUGAUUUUUUAGUAUUUAUUCUAUUAUCAGAUUUUAGAUUAUGGAAUUCAGUUAAUUCAGUUUUCAGAAUAAAGCUUUCAGCUUAUAGUAUUAAGGCAGCAAUAUUUCAUAAUUUUUCAUGGAUAUCAGAGUAUUUAUAGUCAUUAUGUUAUACAGUUGCCUUUCUAGAAUUAUGUCCAAAAAAAUUAUGAUAUGAUCAUGUUUAGUUUUUAAAAGUGUUACUAUUCUUUUUAGAAGUUCUUAACGUUAAAUAGUGCAAGAAUUUUCAGAAAAUAGUAUAAAUGGAAAAGUUUAUCUAUUUUCAACUAUCCACUUACUGAGUUAUAAACUCAUAUCUUUUUACCAUGUUUUCCUAUCAGGAGAAGGUCGAUUUUGAGAUAUUUGGGAAAGCCUGCUGAAGCAAAAGAGACUGUUUCAUAAGUAUGUAAUGAAUAGUUGGGAAACUUAUGUUUAUUAAGUAUUUGUCUAAUUUUAGGUGACGAGCAUAUUCGUAGAAAGGUUUGUAAGUGAUGUAAUACUUGCGUGUUGACAGGAUGAUGUUGUAAAAACACUCAAUUGAAUUUUGUUAUAUUUUGUAGUAGUUGUGGUGGUAUUAGAGGAAGUGGUGGUUUCCAA